AGUUAAAAAUCUACAAGAGUUUUGUGUGUAUUUGGGGCAACGGCAACGGCUACAAACAGCGCUGGACUUGUAACUAAGUGAAGAGACAAGCAGCAGCUUUUUAUUUGAUUGUCGACAACUGCAGUGGAUAAAGAACAA